rnacentral:misc_RNA from 1 species
GAAUGCCCUUUCUAUUGAUCCAGGAAGAAAAUGGAAAGGGCCUUGGAGAUGGUUCGAUGAAUCCAUGUUGGACUGCUGUGAGCCAUUGGAGAAGGUUAAAGCUAAAGGGAUCUCCUUUGGGAAAGUGGUAUGUUUGGCUCACUGUGCAGGAGCGAAGGUGGAAGCUUUUCGCUCUAAUCUUAGCACCAUUGAUGACUUCCGUAAACAUGUCAUGGCCUGCACAACUAGUGAUGAUUGUCAUCUGAUCUCAUCUUAUCAUCGAGGACUUUUUAAACAGACAGGUUCAGGCCA